ensembl:lncRNA LINC00943 long intergenic non-protein coding RNA 943
GGUCCACGCGGACAGGCAGUUCCAGCUCCGGAAAAGGAAGAAUCAACACUUUCAGAGAUGGAGCCUGUUGAGCCACAGUACCAACUAGUCAAUGCUGAAUCGACUUCUCCCUUUCUACAUUGCCUGAGAGAAGUCAUUGGGGAAUACUCUGUACACGAAUUUUCACUGUUGGGGAAAACAGAGAGUCAAGGGAUUGGAUUGUGGAUUGCAUUGGUGGUUUUCCUCAGUUUCCUCAUCUUCUCCACAAGUUUCUACAUAUCGAAUGCAGAGCAGCCCUUCUUCAAAGGACCUCCUACGGAAGCUGCUAAGGAACUCAGUCUGUAGCUCUGCGUGGAGCCAUGUGUAAACACUGAACUGAGACCUGCCACCUCCUACUACCUAAGGGCCCAUUUUCAUCUGAUAUCAUCCCCCAGAAACAAACUCAUGAUGACUUCCAUGUUUUUUUUAGAUUAGAUACAUGGAGAAUUUUCCUUUCCCUUAGAAUUAAAAUCCUGCAUUCUAAUUUUCAGUAAGCUUUUUUAUUUCUGAAUAAUUUUAAAUUUAAAGAGAAGUUGCAAAGAUAGUAUAGAAUGUUCCCUUAUACCUGUUUUUAUUUAGAGUGAUGUUCCCAGGAGAAAUGAUAAUGCAGCAAUGGACAAGAACAGGAACAAGAGACAGUCUUACCAUCUUCUUACAAUUUAUAGAUGGGACAGUGGAAAGAGAAGCCACAUCGGGGUUGGGCAUGCAGAGACCUGGUCCUAAAUCUGUGUGACUUUUGCGAAAUCCUUUUGCCUCACAGAGCUCUAGGUUCUUAUCUGUCAAACAGGAACCAGACCAUCAGAUCCGUAGAGAUCCAACCAAUGAAGGAGACUUCGAAAACUUCACAUUGCCGUGUCAAUGUGAGGUUGCUGGAUGGUUAUGACAAGAAAUCACAUUAAAUUCACUGGGGUAACAUUGUUCAUGAAACGGGAUAAUGUGUUUCAGCGAUGAACCACCCAUGGCCUUACUACAGACAUAUUUCCACUUUGAAAAUGUGUGUGAGUGUACAUGUCUGUGUGUGAGGCAGAGAUUAGAAAGUGUAAAUGUGUGCGUUUUCAUUUUACACAUCUUACAUUUUCCUUUAAUUUGUUUGAAAGCCUGUUUUGUUUGUGGCUUCCAUUCCUGGAAGUCCCAUGAGUUGUUAGUGGUGAAGAUGGAACAGAUGUGUCCAACCCGGGGGACUCCUGCCCUCAGGGACUGAGCAGCUGCAAACCUCUCUCUCAUCUGAUUCCACUGUUUCUUCCACAUGUACACAUCAUGAGAAAUAUUGUUCAAUCAAUAUCUUCCCUUAAAUCAACUCAUAUGCUUAUUUACAUGAAUUUACCUAAAACAGAAACUUGAUAUCACUUCUGUAAAUGAAAAAAUUAAACUUUCUGGCUUUAAAUAAAGCAUAACAAUAAUAAUCAUGUCAAAA